UGGGAAUCUGGAAGUUCAUAUACUUGGUGCUCUGUUCUCAGCUGACUCACAUUCUUAAGCUUGGGCGUGGGAAUAGAGGCAGCUUCUGCUGUCAAAGCAACUAAGGCUUUUGACAUGUCUACUUCUUGAAGUUCCAUGUUUUCUUGCAUAUAGUUCUGCAAAUUUUGAGUGAACUCUUCAAUAUUAAGCUUGAUUGUAGGAAUUUCAUCAGGAUCCUCACAGAAAGCAUCCUCCAUAUCAUUUUCUGUUAAUCGUGGACAUUCUGGUUCUGGUGAUGAUGGUUCUUCAACAAUAGGUUCACAAUGUCUGACUCCAUAUCUUGCUUCUAAUUGUUGGUUGGAUUCUGGCUGCUGAUUUCCUACUGAUGAUUCAGUUGCCUGGGGUAGCAGCAGCGGCAGUUGAUUGACCAUCACAUCAGGCUUUUUCCCAUUUGUGCUGUUUUCACCUAUGCUCACUAUAACUUUUUCCUCUGGCCCAGGCAGGGCAAGUCUUGCACUUGCAAAUGCACUUGCGAAAUGUCUGCAUUCUCCUCGCAUUGGACAGGCAUUGCAAUUGGGUUUGCUUUUGGUACAGAAUAC
rnacentral:misc_RNA from 1 species